CGGGAGGCAGCAGUGGGGAAUAUUGCACAAUGGGCGAAAGCCUGAUGCAGCAACGCCGCGUGAGUGAUGAAGGCCUUCGGGUCGUAAAACCCUGUCCUCAAGGAAGAUAAUGACGGUACUUGAGGAGGAAGCCCCGGCUAACUACGUGCCAGCAGCCGCGGUAAUACGUAGGGGGCUAGCGUUAUCCGGAUUUACUGGGCGUAAAGGGUGCGUAGGCGGUCUUUCAAGUCAGGAGUGAAAGGCUACGGCUCAACCGUAGUAAGCUCUUGAAACUGGGAGACUUGAGUGCAGGAGAGGA
rnacentral:rRNA from 1 species